rnacentral:rRNA from 1 species
CGCCAGACUCCUACGGGAGGCAGCAGUGGGGAAUAUUGCACAAUGGGGGAAACCCUGAUGCAGCGACGCCGCGUGAGCGAUGAAGUAUUUCGGUAUGUAAAGCUCUAUCAGCAGGGAAGAAAAUGACGGUACCUGACUAAGAAGCCCCGGCUAACUACGUGCCAGCAGCCGCGGUAAUACGUAGGGGGCAAGCGUUAUCCGGAUUUACUGGGUGUAAAGGGAGCGUAGACGGCUGUGCAAGCCAGAUGUGAAAGCCCGGGGCUCAACCCCGGGACUGCAUUUGGAACUGUGUGGCUGGAGUGUCGGAGAGGCAGGCGGAAUUCCUAGUGUAGCGGUGAAAUGCGUAGAUAUUAGGAGGAACACCAGUGGCGAAGGCGGCCUGCUGGACGAUGACUGACGUUGAGGCUCGAAAGCGUGGGGAGCAAACAGGAUUAGAUACCCGAGUAG